rnacentral:rRNA from 1 species
AGAAUCAACGCUGGCGGCGUGCCUAACACAUGCAAGUCGCACGAGAAAGGGGAGCAAUCCCUGAGUAAAGUGGCGCACGGGUGAGUAACACGUGAAUCAUCUACCUCCGAGUGGGGAAUAACCUAGAGAAAUCUGGGCUAAUACCGCAUAACACUUACGAGUCAAAGCAGCAAUGCGCUUGGAGAGGAGUUCGCGGCCGAUUAGCUAGCUGGCGGGGUAAUGGCCCACCAAGGCGAUGAUCGGUA